GGGCCCGCACAAGCGGUGGAGCAUGUGGUUUAAUUCGACGCAACGCGCAGAACCUUACCAGCCCUUGACAUGCCCGUCGGGAGAUCCAGAGAUGGGUCUUUUCAUUUAGUUGGACGGUGCACAGGUGCUGCAUGGCUGUCGUCAGCUCGUGUCGUGAGAUGUUGGGUUAAGUCCCGCAACGAGCGCAACCCUCGCCUUCAGUUGCCAUCAUUUAGUUGGGCACUCUGAAGGGACUGCCGGUGACAAGCCGGAGGAAGGUGGGGAUGACGUCAAGUCCUCAUGGCCCUUACGGGCUGGGCUACACACGUGCUACAAUGGCGGUGACAAUGGGACGCGAAAGCGCAAGCCGGAGCAAAUCCCAAAAAUCCGUCUCAGUUCGGAUUGCACUCUGCAACUCGAGUGCAUGAAGUCGGAAUCGCUAGUAAUCGCGCAACAGCAUGGCGCGGUGAAUACGUUCCCGGGCCUU
rnacentral:rRNA from 1 species